GACGAACGCUGGCGGCGUGCUUAACACAUGCAAGUCGAACGAUUGGCGAACGGGUUAGUAACACGUUGGUUACCUGCCCUGCAAUUCGGGAUAAGCCUGGGAAACUGGGUCUAAUACCGGAUAGUGUGGGAUGGGCCCGCGGCAUAUCAGCUUGUUGGUGGGGAAAUGGCUACCAAGGCGCGACGGGUAGCCGGCCAGAGAGGGUGGACGGCCACAUUGGGACUGGGACACGGCCCAGACUCCUACGGGAGGCAGAAGUGGGGAAGAUUGGACAAUGGGCGCAAGCCUGAGGGAGCAAUGCCGCGUGAAUGAAGAAGGCCUUAGGAUUGUAAAGUACUUUCAGCAGGGAGGCGUUACCCACAGAAGAAGCCCCGGCUAACUACGUGCCAGCAGCCGCGGUAAUUC
rnacentral:rRNA from 1 species